AUGGGGGAUUCUCUUGAAUUAUGGAACCACACCAAAGAGGCUUGUGCCUCUCUUGUUCUGAAUAACAGGAAAGAUGAGGCUGUAUGGACUCUGACAAAGAAUGGCAUUUAUUCUGUCAAGUCUUUCUAUAGACAUUUGAUUGAAAAUGGGGUUAAAUAUCCACAUUUCUUUAUGUGGAAAGUUAAAAUGCCACCUAGGGUGGAAGUUUUCAUGUGGCUAACUCUCAGAAAUAGUAUUCUUACUAAAAAUAACUUGCUCCGCAGAGGUUGGAGAGGUGAUAAUACGUGCCCCUUUUGUGGAAGGGAUGAAACUAUUAAUCAUCUUUCCUUCACCUGCUCGGUUGCGCGUUUACUCUGA
rnacentral:rRNA from 1 species